UGCCUGUUAAUUCAGUGGAAGAAUACUUGGUUUGGGACCAAGUGCCCGGCGUUCGAUUCGCCGACGGGCCC